rnacentral:tRNA from 1 species
GGACGUGUACCCAAGUGGUUUAAGGGAACAGUCUUGAAAACUGAUAGCCGGCAGUGAUGUCGGGCGCAAGUUCGAAUCUUGCCACGUCCGCCA